rnacentral:lncRNA from 9 species
CCAGCGAUUGGUUGCUGUUCUGUGUGAGUCAUUUAUUCUGUAGAUAUGUGCUUUUUUUGUUGUGUUUGUGGGAGAGGGCGAGCGUGUCCCCCUACUCCUCUGCCAUCUUGUCCUCUCUCUGCUUCCUGUAUCUUGAUGUCUGUUUUAUUUACAUUUGGAAAGUUUUUAGAUGUAAUUUCUUCAAAUAUAUUUUCAAUCCAUUUUCUUUUUCUUCUCCUUCUGGAAUUCCUAUUAUGUAUAGAUUGGCCUGUUUUAUGUUAUCCCAUAGAUCUCUUAUAUUGCUUUCAUGUUUUUUCAUUUGCUUUUCUGAGUGCUGUCCUGAUUGGGUGAUUUCCAUUAUUCUAUAUUCCAAGUCACUAAUUUGUUCCUCUGCAUUAUUCUUUCUGCUCUCUGGUGCCUUUAGCUCAGUUUGUGUCUUUGCAAAUUAAUUUUGUAAUUUUUCUUGGCUCCUCAUAUUUUCUAGUUCCUUUCUAAAGUAAUCUGCAUUACUGUUUACACCUGCUCUUAAUUCCUUCAUAUUCACCCUUAAUUCCUCCCAUGUUUUCACUAGCUCCCUUUUGAACUCAGUGUCUAUUAGACUGCAGAGGUCUGUAUCAUUAUUUACUGCUUCAGGUGAAUUCUCCAUUCUUUUAACUAGGAAUGGUUCCUGAGCGUCUUCAUUUUGCUUAUAUUUUUCUUUUUCUGUGAGUUUAGGGAAACCAAACUGUAGUUUUGGAGGGCUAUUUCUAUGCAAGAGUGCCCUUUGUAUUUUUGGGGGGUUACUAUUUAUUUCUGGGUUGGGAGUUUGGAUAUUUGCUGUCUCUUUCUUUGGUGUGAGCAGGCUGUUAUCCCCAGGGUGCUUAGUGUGUUUCCAGGGAAAAGAAGGCAAUGGUUAGAAUUAGUAGUCAGUCCUGGUUGCUGGGAUCUUGAUAGUAGCAAGGACCUAUAGGAAGAUGGCACAGGCUACUCCUAGUUGCAGCAUCCUGGGAAGUGGUAAUGAUCCUCAGGCAGAUUUAGUUGGUGCCCAGAGCACUUGGCAGUGGCAAUGGCAGGGCGUGUGAGUCCAGGGGUGUGAGAGCAACAACAGGUCAUUUCUAUCAUAAUGCCCUCCUCUGUGGUGCCCUUUGAGGUGAUUGGGGCUACAAAUGGUGUCUGUUCGUGGACCCCUAGCAGUAGUGGGGCAUGCCCACCUCUGGAGUCAGAGAUAACUGUGGUGGUUUUCCCCACCACCUGUAGACCAUGCAAGAAGCACCCCAACCCACUUACCCCACACAGGAGGUGCUUCACAGGCUGCUCCUAGUUGCAUGGUCUGGGAAGUGACAGUGAUUAAGCAUGUGUGGGAGCUGCCCAGAACAUUUGGCAGUGGCAGCAGCAGGGUGGGGGUGUUCCAAGGGAAGUGAGAGCAACAAUGAGUGGUGAUUGGUUGCAGUGCCCUUUUUUUUUGCUGACCUCUGUGGUGACUGUGGCCGAAGGUGGAACCUGUUCACAGACCCCUAGUGGUGGCAGGCCAUGCCUCCCUCUGGUUUCUGAGAUGACUGAUCCCCACCACCUGUAGAUCAUGCAAGAGGCACCUCAUCACACUUAGCCCCCCGCUGCCCUUUGCCCACACAAGAGGUGCCUGGCCACCCAUAGCUUUCACAAGAAGAGCCUGGUCUCCUGUAGCUCAAGCAAGUGGCCUCUUACCACCUGUAGCCUGUGCCAGAGGUGCCCCACCCUCCAAGAGUCUGUGCAUGUGCAGAGAUCUUCCUAUAGCAGUCCACCCUCUACCUCUCGCCCUACUGAACAAUGGUGCCUUGCUUCUCCUAUAGGCCCAGAUGUUCUCCCAGGUUCCCUCAGCUGUGGUGUUCCUCUCCCCAGCCCAUGGCACACUGCUCCCUAGGGCCUCAGGCUGUCUCCACACAGCCAGCCAAACCCCAUCCUCUCCCUGGAACUGACCGCUGGUGCCUGGGUCUCGGUGCCCAGCCUCCACCCAAGUGUCUCAGGCUGUGAUGUCGGGGGUAGUGGUGUAGAUGAUCUGUGUGGCUCUCACUCUGCUUUUCCCUCCUCAGUCCAGCUGCUGCGCUUUUCUUGGUGAUCUUGAGGUCCGUCUGUCUCAGUGAUCUCCCAUUUGGUUAGGUGGCUUCCCAGAGUGUGGGUUCCUUUCUUCUUUCACAGCUCCCUCUCAGCAAUGCUAGUCCUGUCCUGAUUCCUUUUCUCUCUCACUCUCUUUUUUCUCUUUUGUUCUACCCAGUUAUGUGGAGGGUUUCUUGCCCUUUUUGGAGAUUUAAGUUCUUCUGCCAGCGUUCAGUAGAUGUUCUACAUGUAGUUGUGUUUUUUUGAUGUGUUUGUGGAAUAAGGUGAGCAUGAGGUCUUAUUCCUCCACCAUCUUCAUCCUUCCCUCUAUAUUUUCUUGAAAUAGUUUGUAUGACAGAUAUUCCACAGCUUUCAUUUUGAUACAGAAUAACCAUAUUUUGAUAUUUCAUGUUAACAUUAUUUAAUAUUUCUCUGCUCUUUCUGCUCAGGUAAUUUUCAUGGUUUCAGUGGGCAUUUUUUCAUUGUUCUUUUCUUAUCUUAAUGAUCCAGAAAUUUAAAAGGGGUUAUGACUUAUUCAGUAAAUUUGUUCAGACCUUGAAAUACUCAAAUAAAGGAAACUAUGCCUUUGUAAAGCAUAAGCAUGCUACUCUUUGAUUCGUUUUAUGGUUUAGACUGCUUUAUGACUUUCUCUCAAUAAAAGCCAUAAAAUUAAAAUGACCAUGCAAAGGUUUAUGAAGUGCCUCUGACCCAACAUGGUGAAGCCAAUGGAAGCAAAAUUGUUUCCUAAAUCUGCUAAAAUACCUGGAGGGAAUUAUUUUACAAUACAGAGGCAGACAGGAGUCCUGGGAAAUCCAUUUUUUGGGAAACCCCUCAUCUGGCAGCUGCACAUAGAAAAAUGUCAUGUCCACAAUUAUAUUUUAACAUUGCAAGACAUGUCAAACCACAUUUAGCUAUCAUACCUUGGAGAGAAACAAAUGAAGAAGACUUUGGCAAAAAUUAAAGUACAAUUAUUAUCGAAAUCAGGAAGAUUAAUAUAUUUCCUAUAUAUUUCUCAAGCCCCAUCUCCCACUGCAUUUUUUUUCUAGCAGUAGAGACAAAAAGAGUGAUAAAACAUUGGAUUGUUGAAUUAAAUUAUUUUUCUUUCCUAAAAAUACAAAUCAUACAAUCUGAAGGAUCUGAGUUUCUGGGAAUGAAAUUAAUCUUCAAAUUAGAUUAACAAAGUUUUUUCUCUAAGCAUCCUAAGGGAUUUAACUUUCUGACAUACAUUUUUUAUUAAAGGGGGUUGAAACUUACAUAUAUUGCUCAGUAUAUAAAAGUAAACAACACUUGUGACCUUGGAAGUCUUACAGUCACUGGCUUUGUAUUAUCUUCUGAGUGAAACUCAGACAAAAGUAUUGAAAAAAGGAAGCAAUAUGAUAUAACAAUAAACUGGUACACUGUAUUUGACCAAUAUCUACAACCUGGCUUUCAAAUAGAUCAUAAUUACCUUGGUCUUUAUAAUUUUUAUUAUUUUAAUCAUUAUCAAGAAAUAUGUGCCUAACAAUGAGAAAAGGUUUUUUCUUUUAAUUUUUAUUACAUAACGAGAAAAAGUGGUGAUUCUAAGAGCUAGAGUAGCUCAAUAGUCUUGCAGUCUUCUGUACCUACAGUUGGCCUUUCCCCAAGAUUCUAAGAUGACUACCAUGGCUUUAGGGAGAAUAACCUCUAAAUGGCAGGAAGAGUGGAGAAGAAUGGUUCAAGCCAUCCCUUUUAUGAGGAGCAAAAGUUUUCUCAUAAACAUCUCUUGCUCAUAUACAUAUUCUUGUUCAGAAAUACAUCCUUUGACCCCUUUUAAGAGCAAUGAGUCAUGAUGUUUUUACAACAGUAACACCAAAGAUCAUUAAUCACAGAUCACCAUAACAAAUAUAAUAAUAAUGAAAAGUUUGAAAUAUCACUAGAAUUAUCAAAAUGUGAUACUGAGUUAUGAAUAGAGCAAAUGCUAUUGGGAAAAUGACACCCAACAGCAUUUGCUCACUGUUGAGCAAAUAAACCUGCUCAAUGCAGAUUUGCUACAAAUCUUCAAAUUGUAAAAAAAGCAAUAUUUGUAAAGUACUGUAAAGAGAAGCACAGUAAAAGGAGGUAUGCCUUAUUUUAUUCUAUUUUGUUUAUAACAUCUACAUCAGGAUCAAAAGAUUUAUUUUAGUUUUUUUUAAAAAUACAUCUGUUAUACACUAGGAGUUCCUAUGAAGACUUUUUGUUUUAGCUUAUAAAAUUUGAUAUAAUGUGUUUACUAUCAUACAUAGUCUAUAUACAUUGUAGGUAUAGUAGUAUUUUACGCUAGAAAGAUAUUGUUCUUUCUUCUACCAUCUGUGUUUUGUUGAGAAGUCAACUAUAAGUCUAACUGAUAACAUUUUGUAGGCAAUACGGUUUUUUUCUGUGAGUUAUUAAGAUAUUCUUCUUGAUUUUGAUGCAAAUGAGUUUCUUGUUUGUUUUCUUUACUUUUUAGUGUAGUUUAUUUACAGUGUUUUGCCAAUUUCUGCUGCACAGCAAAGUGAUCCAGUCAUACAUACAUAUACAUUGUGUUUCUUAAAUUGUCUUCCGUUAUUACUGUACAAUCAGACCUCACAAAUGAAGUUUCUAUACAAUUUGUUGUGCUUAGGAUGUGUCGGACUUUAUGAAUCUGAAGAUUCGAGGAAAUACCAUGACAUUUUGCUUGAUGCCACGUUCCGUCGAGAGGUUGUGUGUUACUUUGGCCAGCUGCCCAGGCAUCCCAGUAGCUCGAUUCAUAUGGAUUCUUACCACUCACAUAUAUGGUACCUACAUGAGAAGACUUGAGUGGCUGGGGACUGGAACAGUUGGGGCUGGUCCUUAGUUAGCACUCUGCAUAUGUAUGUGUUCUCUCCAUCCUAAAAGCUGCAGGGUGCUCAUUUUUCUUGCAUAGCAGCUUAGAAAUCAAAGGCACCUGUCCUGAAAGAGAGGGCUAGGUGGAGUCUGUGCUGGUUUUACACCCUCUCCUCAGAAGUCAUGUAGUAUCUAUCACUCCUGUCAUACUCUGUGACAUGAAGUCGAGCUAUACUCUGGUUUAAGAAGACGGUGCUUUCUUACAGAUGGAUGUGAGGCAGGAUAUACAGUGGUGAGGCCCAACAUGGGAAUUUCAAUAGGAUACAAACCACUUGCUAACUUUUUUGUAAAAUUCCCUUGGCUAUAGUUUCUUUUGGAGAUUCAGGUACAUGAGUAUAAGCUCUGAAUUCUCAUAGAUGCUUAAGAUUUACAUUUUUCAGGGGAGUCUCAUUUUCAGUUCAAAACAAAGACAUGUAGGUUUCCCUUGUGGGUUGGAUUUUGACGUGGUGGUGGUGGUGCUAGUGCCGGUUAAGCUUAUUAUUUCAUCAAACAGCAGUGCAUCUCUAGGUAGGGUUGCCUGUUUAAACCCACCAAUGCAGCACUAAUCAAAUUGCCCUAAGUUGACUUUCAACCUCCACAGUUCACAUAUUAGCACCUGAAGGUCUUCCCCAAAAUAUAGGAAAAUAUGCUUAGGUUCUAGAUUAUUUAAUACUCUCUGGAAAGUUAGAAUGUAGGUAGGUGUUAGAAAAAUAUUUAAAACUUGAUUUGCUCAAUACUUAGCAAAUUUCUGAAUUCCUCUCAUGUACCCUAAGUUAUGAAUAUACAAAAAUUGCUAAAACAUAACCCAUCACCUUCAAAGAAAUCACAGGACUGUUUUCUAAUGCAGGAACUUUCAGAAAAUAAUCUGAAAAAAAAUUAGGUAAAAAUACAUCUCCUCUAUCUAUAACUCUGUUUAUGUUUUGUUAUGUUUGUUCAUUUGUUUUGUUAUUUAGAUUCCACCUGUAAGUGAAUUCCACAUAUUUGGUGGUUGCCAGAGGGGAGGAGGGUGAGAAGAGGAAAUAAAUAGGUGAAGGAGUUAAGAGAUACAAACUUCGAAUUGCAGAAUAAAUUAGUGACAGGUACGCAAUGUACAGUGUGGGGAAUAUAGCCAAUGACUAUGUAAUAUCUUUGUACGGUGACAUAUAAUAACAAGAAAUAUCAUGGAGAUCAUUUUGAAAUGUAUAGAAAUAUUGAAUCACUAUGUUGUGUAUCAAGAACUAACAUAGUGUUGUAGGCUAAUCAUACUUUGAAAACAAAUAAACUCAUAGAAAAUGAGAUUAGAUUUGUGGUUACCAUAGGCUGGGGGUGGGAGGGAAGAAGAAUUGAUUGCUCUUUUGAAAAAAAAAAAAAACGUGGAGUUCCCACUGUGGCACAGUGGGUUAAGGAUCUGGCAUUGCCACAGCUAUGGCAUAGGU